rnacentral:rRNA from 1 species
CCCCUAGACGUUCUGGGCUGCACGCGCGCUACAAUAAUACGCACAGCGGGUAUCACCGAGCUCGAAAGGGCAAGGUAAACAAUAGAAAAGGUACUGUAAUGGUUAUAGAUCCUUGUAAUUAUUGAUCUUCAACGAGGAAUUCCUAGUAAGUAUGUGUCAUCAUCACGCACUGAUUACGUCCCUGCCCUUUGUACACACCGCCCGUCGCUCCUACCGAUUGGGUGAGCCGAUGAAACUCUCGGAUGUAGGCUAUUCAUAGCCCGCAGAAGAGAUUUGAAUCGUAGCGCUUAGAGGAAGGAGAAGUCGUAACA